rnacentral:rRNA from 1 species
AGAGUUUGAUCCUGGCUCAGGACGAACGCUGGCGGCGUGCUUAACACAUGCAAGUCGAGCGGUAAGGCCCCUUCGGGGGUACACGAGCGGCGAACGGGUGAGUAACACGUGAGCAACCUGCCCCUGACUCUGGGAUAAGCCGUGGAAACGCGGUCUAAUACCGGAUACGACGCCUCACCGCAUGGUGGGGUGUGGAAAGUUGUGUCGGUUGGGGAUGGGCUCGCGGCCUAUCAGCUUGUUGGUGGGGUGAUGGCCUACCAAGGCGAUUACGGGUAGCCGGCCUGAGAGGGCGACCGGCCACACUGGGACUGAGACACGGCCCAGACUCCUGCGGGAGGCAGCAGUGGGGAAUAUUGCGCAAUGGGCGGAAGCCUGACGCAGCGACGCCGCGUGGGGGAUGACGGCCUUCGGGUUGUAAACCUCUUUUACCACUCACGCAGGCCCCGGGUGUUCUCGGGGUUGACGGUAGGUGGGGAAUAAGGACCGGCUAACUACGUGCCAGCAGCCGCGGUAAUACGUAGGGUCCGAGCGUUGUCCGGAAUUAUUGGGCGUAAAGAGCUCGUAGGCGGUGUGUCGCGUCUGCUGUGAAAGGCUGGGCUUAACCCUGGUUUUGCAGUGGAUACGGGCAUGCUAGAGGUAGGUAGGGGAGACUGGUAUUCCUGGUGUAGCGGUGAAAUGCGCAGAUAUCAUGAGGACACCGGUGGCGAAGGCGGGUCUCUGGGUCUUACCUGACGCUGAGAGCGAAGCGUGGGGGAGCGAACAGGAUUAGAAUACCCUUGGGUAGUUCCACGCCGGUUAA